GCCGGAAAAUGCUUACGCAGGGACACUCAUGUAAGAGACCUCCUCGGGAGGGCAGAAAGUGACGCGCCCUCGUCGUGGUUAGACCUCUGGCGAAAAGUUGUACUUCCCGUCUACCUCUCUAAAGCCUAGAAUACGUUUGACCGAAAAACGAAUAAAAUGUGAUUCGCGUCAACGUA